rnacentral:sRNA from 1 species
UUGUUCAUGGGACAACUGCCAAUGCUUCAGUACCAGUGUGUACCGAGUGAUCUGAGAGAAGCGCCUUCGGGUGAUCACGUGCCAAUGCCAUCGAAGCCUGAGAGGUGGCGUCUUCGGACGAUAUGUCUGUUACUCUUGGGAACAGAUGC